CGCAAGAUUAAAACUCAAAUGAAUUGACGGGGGCCCGCACAAGCGGUGGAGCAUGUGGUUUAAUUCGAUGCAACGCGAAGAACCUUACCUACUCUUGACAUCCAGAGAACUUUCCAGAGAUGGAUUGGUGCCUUCGGGAACUCUGAGACAGGUGCUGCAUGGCUGUCGUCAGCUCGUGUUGUGAAAUGUUGGGUUAAGUCCCGCAACGAGCGCAACCCUUAUCCUUGUUUGCCAGCGAGUAAUGUCGGGAACUCCAGGGAGACUGCCGGGGAUAACCCGAAGGAAGGUGGGGACGACGUCAAGUCAUCAUGCCCCUUACGAGCAGGGCUACACACGUGCUACAAUGGCCAAUACAGAGGGCGGCCAACUUGCAGAAGUGAGCGAAUCCCAAAAAGUGCGUCUAAGUCCGGAUUGAGGUCUGCAACUCGACUCCAUGAAGUCGGAUUCGCUAGUAAUCGUGGAUCAGAAUCCCACGGUGAAUACGUUCCCGGGCCUGGUACAACCGCCCGUCAACCAUGGAAGUGGCUGCAAAAGAAGAGGUAGUUAACCUUCGGGGGAGGCUACCACUUG
rnacentral:rRNA from 1 species